CCUACGGGAGGCAGCAGUAGGGAAUAUUGCUCAAUGGGGGAAACCCUGAAGCAGCAACGCCGCGUGAAUGAUGAAGGUUUUAGGAUUGUAAACCCCUUUUGUGAGAGAAGAUAAUGACGGUAUCUCACGAAUAAGCACCGGCGAACUCCGUGCCAGCAGCCGCGGUAAUACGGAGGGGGCAAGCGUUACUCGGAAUCACUGGGGGUAAAGAGUGCGCAGGCGGAGAUGUAAGUCGGAUGUGAAAUCCUGUAGCUUAACUACAGGACUGCAUUUUAAACUAUUGGUCUUGAGUGCUGGAGAGGUAAGUGGAAUUCCUGGUGUAGGGGUGAAAUGCGUAGAUAUUAAGAGGAAUACUAAUUGCGAAGGCGACCUACUGGACCAUUACUGACGCUCAUGCACGAAAGCGUGGGGAGCAAACAGGAUUAGAUACCCGAGUAGUC
rnacentral:rRNA from 1 species